rnacentral:rRNA from 1 species
UACGUAGGGAGCAAGCGUUGUCCGGAAUCAUUGGGCGUAAAGCGCGCGUAGGUGGCCUCGUAAGUCCGCUGUGAAAGUCGGGGGCUCAACCCUCGAAUGCCGGUGGAUACUGUCGGGCUAGAGUGCGGAAGAGGCGAGUGGAAUUCCUGGUGUAGCGGUGGAAUGCGCAGAUAUCAGGAGGAACACCGAUGGCGAAGGCAGGUCACUGGGCCGCAACUGACGCUGAGGAGCGAAAGCAUGGGGAGCGAACAGG